GUGCAUAUGAUGGAAAGAAUGUAGACUCUCCUGAGACCUAUGAUGUCCUCAAAGGAACCACUGAUGCGC